CAAGCCGUUUUAGGAUUUCACCAUUUUCAUCAAGCAAAUAUUUAACUUUUUUUCCAUUUUCCAAAAUUUUACGAUAUUUCGGUUGUCCAUUAGGAUAAAGAGGUAUCUUCUUUUUUUCUUCUAGAAUAGAAACAGAUUCAGGAUGUGAUGACUCCUCAGCAACUUUCUCUAAAAGCUUGUCUGCUUCUUCGUCAACUUCUUUCUCACUCGAAGAAAGCAGAGAAUCAUCCAAGGCUAGCUCAUUAGAGCGAACUUUUUCAAGCAAUUUUCGAUCAAGACCACGCACGAGAUGAGUUGUAUUCAAAUCUCCGCCUAAUUCUUUAGAUUUUUCUGAAUAUUCUUUUGUCGUAAUUUGGCCAUUGCGAAGUUUCUCGUGCAAUUUGUGCAACUCAAUAUCCUGUUUGGAAGAAGGCUCUUCAUAAAAUUGAGUAUCUUUCCCUGAAUUUUUUGCAUUAGAAUGUCUCGUAAUGUCUGACGAUGUAGAAUGACUUAGUUGUUUUCUUUUAAUUAGGGCUCUGGGUGCUUCCAAUUUGGCCGUCUUAUGUUUACGACCAAAAACAAGUCGCUGACUUUUAUUCGAUGAGAAAUUUUUUAACUGGGAGGUUUCGGCUUUUGGAGUAGCUAAAAGCUUUCUGAAAUCAUCUUGGUUCAUUGUGA